rnacentral:lncRNA from 1 species
AAUUCCAGCAUCAAGGACCCAUGAUAAAUAGUUCUUCCCGGUGAUGUCAAGUGCCACAAAUUCAAGUUUUGAUAAAUUUGACAUAGUGAAAACUAUCAUAAAAGAUGAAUAAGUUAGAGAAAUAAUUAUAAUAAUAAACAAUUAAUGAAACGAAUCGAUUAAGGUAAAAGAAAUGAAAAUAAAGCUAUAUCAUGUUAGCAAUCUACUAUUUUAUUUUAUUCAUGCCAUAAAAUAGAAACUAUAUAUUGUUUCAUUUCACUUUAUAUUAUUGAUAUAUAUAUAUAUAUAUAUAUAUAUAUAUAUGUUAAUAGAAUUUAACGUUUUAUUAGUUGCAGUGACUAGAUAAUGUAUACACUACAUACAUAUGCAUACAUUUUUUUAAUGGUAUUGUGUCAGGUGUGAAAAACAACAUGAUAAACAAAAAUAUGAAAAAGGGAACAACAACAUGAAUGAUGUAAAUUAUCAAAAAUUGCAAAGAAAAAUUUAGGUUGUAAGAAUUAAGCAUAUGAUAUAUAUACUGCCAUAAAUAAAAUGAUUAUAAUGAUACAUACCUCAAUAAAAUAUGGCUCAACUUAGCUGGAGUUAAGAAUAAAAUUAGAGCUUCGUGCUGAUAACGUUUAUAAAAUAAAAGCAAUUUAGUAAAACUUGAACAAGAAAUAGAGAUAGAGAGAAUGAAGAGAUUUUCUU